rnacentral:lncRNA from 1 species
AUCCAUCUAUAAGUUUCGAUCUAUGUUGUCAUGACAUUGAUUUUUGCCUUCACCCUGGCAACACCAAAAUCAACCAUUUUAAUGACCUUAAAAGAGACAUUAGGUAAAAUUUUAUGUUAUAUUGAUCUUGACUAGGCUAAUAAAAGAUGUAACAUGAAUGAAAUAUGUUUGCGUACGCAAUUAGAAAAUACAAAGCCUUUAAAAAAGGUAUACUGGAUAAUUUAACACUUAGUCAAUCAUCACUGAGUGAUUCUCUUAGUUGAAAAAAUUACUGCAUGAUACCACAUAUAAUAGUUGUACCUUUGUAAUGCAAAGGUCUCUUAGCAUAUCAAUAUAUAUUCCCACCUCGCUCUUCUGGCCUUCUCACCAUUAAAAUAGAGAAUGAUCAUCUGAAAUCACAGUACUAAAUCACAUCAACUCCGAUAUAAUAGAGAUUUUCUGCAUUCAUAAACAUAGUCAAGAUUUCAUACAUUAAAGAAUACGAACUUAAAAAAAUAUAUAAAUCUUUCCUGAAAAGAAAAAAACGAACAACAAUUCGAGUGCUUUCUAUAUAAAACAAACACGAGAAAUAAUUCUCUCUAUAUAUAUAUAAUAUACAUAGAUAUAUAACAAAUUAUAAACAUAUACUUGGUCAGUAACAGGGUAAGAAUUAGAGAAUGAUCUGGCAACACUUCUGCCGUAUUCAUUAACGUUAUUUCUAUCAAAAAUUGAGCUAAAAUAACUUAAAACGAAUUAAAAAGAGAUGAAUAUUUAGAAAACACAAACAUAAGUAAACCACUAAAAAUUUAAAAAUUCAAUUUUCUGAACAAUGAUAAAAAUAAGUUGUGAGAAAAUAUUUAGUGUACGUGCGUUGUACGUGUGCAUUACGUUAAUAAAUGAAGUAUAUAAAGAAAAAUGUAUCUAUAUUAUUGUUUAAUGGGUUAAACUCUUUCUGAUUAAGAACUACUUGGUACAUUAGACUUAUACCUGUCAAGGAGGAUUCUAUUCUUUCGUUUGUAAAUAGUAUUUCUAGAAUUCUGUUGCAUCCUUCUUCAAUAAGUGAUUUCACAACUUGACUAACAUGCAUAUUACGUUUGAUUAGUAUGAGAUCCGAGUUAAUGCUAAGUAUCACGUAAAUUGUAAAAAAAGAAAAUUUAAAAUAACACAUGUAAUUAGCAAAACAUAUAUUAACAUCCUUUUAUUAAUCCACUUUGCAGUACAUUAAAUUAAAAAAAAAAAAAACUUGUUUUUCGAUAGCUAAUGAAAUUCCAAGCAACAUUAUGUAGGAACAUUAAGUUGGUCCAUACACCACAAUUAUCCAAAAAAAAAAAAAAAGAGAUGGCUAAUUUACAAAGCAAAGAGCUACGAUACCCAUAAGAAACCUAUCAGCAUUACUACUGAAAGGAAAUCCAUGCCCGAAUCAACUAAAGGAAUGCUAG